UGGGGAAUAUUGGACAAUGGGGGCAACCCUGAUCCAGCAAUGCCGCGUGUGUGAAGAAGGUCUUCGGAUUGUAAAGCACUUUCGACGGGGACGAUGAUGACGGUACCCGUAGAAGAAGCCCCGGCUAACUUCGUGCCAGCAGCCGCGGUAAUACGAAGGGGGCUAGCGUUGCUCGGAAUGACUGGGCGUAAAGGGCGUGUAGGCGGUUUACACAGUCAGAUGUGAAAUCCCCGGGCUUAACCUGGGAGCUGCAUUUGAUACGUGUAGACUAGAGUGUGAGAGAGGGUUGUGGAAUUCCCAGUGUAGAGGUGAAAUUCGUAGAUAUUGGGAAGAACACCGG
rnacentral:rRNA from 1 species